rnacentral:rRNA from 1 species
UGGGGAAUAUUGGACAAUGGGCGAAAGCCUGAUCCAGCAAUGCCGCGUGAGUGAUGAAGGCCCUAGGGUUGUAAAGCUCUUUUACCCGGGAAGAUAAUGACUGUACCGGGAGAAUAAGCCCCGGCUAACUCCGUGCCAGCAGCCGCGGUAAUACGGAGGGGGCUAGCGUUGUUCGGAAUUACUGGGCGUAAAGCGCGCGUAGGCGGCUUUGUAAGUUAGAGGUGAAAGCCCGGGGCUCAACCCCGGAAAUGCCUUUAAGACUGCAUCGCUUGAAUCCAGGAGAGGUGAGUGGAAUU